UGUGCCAUGAAGGAUUUGCUGAUGCUGCUUU
rnacentral:piRNA from 1 species